rnacentral:SRP_RNA from 9 species
GAGGGAAGGAGGGACUUGUACAUAAGCGACCUGAUCCCAGACACGGAAGGGAGCAGUGAAGCCUUUGACUGCAAG